rnacentral:rRNA from 1 species
GACGUACCGUGCGAACGUUGUUCGGAAUCACUGGGCUUAAAGGGCGCGUAGGCGGUCGGGCAAGUCGAAGGUGAAAUCCCACAGCUUAACUGUGGAAGCGCCCCCGAUACUGCUCGUCUGGAGGGCGAUAGGGGCGUGCGGAACUUCCGGUGGAGCGGUGAAAUGCGUAGAUAUCGGAAGGAACACCGGUGGCGAAAGCGGCGCGCUGGAUCUCUUCUGACGCUGAGGCGCGAAAGCCAGGGGAGCAAACGGG